AGCUGUCAGCUGAGCUGGGGCUUGCUGUGCUAUCACAGUUGCUGCCUGGUACAACAUAUGGCUCUUCUGUGGAAAUUUGACAGCUCGGUGCUCUGUCACCGCAGUUCAGCUGGAGAAGGCAGACGCGGGAGGUGCUGAAGCACAGCUCCCUUCUCCUCCCUGACUGCUGCUGCACUUCGUACAACUGCAUGGCAGAGCCCCCGCACCAGCUCCUUGAUGUGGGUCCUGCUUGUGCAUCUGCAUAGCCAUGGAACAAACUGAAGCCUCCUUCAAGACUGAAGAGCUAACUCUUCCAUUACAUACAACCAGAAGAUCAAAGAAAAAAAGUCUUCUGGGAAAGAACAACUGCUAUGAUGGAAAGUACAAUUAAAAUAUUAGAAUGAGAGACAGAAGGCAAUGAAUGAGAGACAAGACAGUGUUAAGGCUCUUUGGCAAUUUAGAUCAGCUACAAUCACAAGUCAGGUACGGUCCUAGGAUCACUCCCACUCUGAACACAAAUGUUGAUCUCACAAAGUAAAGAGUUCCCCUGUAAUAUAACUAAAAUGUAUCACUUCCAAUAAAAUAAUAUUUGCAUCACAUUUUGUACAAGCCUAACACUUACUGCAGUACUAGUUGCUGUUAUAUAGAGGAAUUAACUAUUUUAAUACAAGUAUGCUGAAGUUUAGAAUUGACCUGUUACUUUUCUUGCUACUAUACUCUCUUGUCUUUAUUUCAUCAGUUAUGUUA